rnacentral:rRNA from 1 species
UACGUAGGUCCCGAGCGUUGUCCGGAUUUAUUGGGCGUAAAGCGAGCGCAGGUGGUUUAUUAAGUCUGGUGUAAAAGGCAGUGGCUAAACCAUUGUACGCAUUGGAAACUGGUAGACUUGAGUGCAGGAGAGGAGAGUGGAAUUCCAUGUGUAGCGGUGAAAUGCGUAGAUAUAUGGAGGAACACCGGUGGCGAAAGCGGCUCUCUGGCCUGUAACUGACACUGAGGCUCGAAAGCGUGGGGAGCAAACAGG